rnacentral:lncRNA from 1 species
UACAGAUGUGGGCUUUAUGAUGUCAGGCAUAGGCUGAGUGAGUGACAGCAGGUGACUUGAGAGGUCCUUCUGAGUGGUAGGGGGAAGCCAGCCUGAAGUCAGCACAGUGAAAAGGGACCUCACUGCCCCGUGGGAGGACUCAGGACUGGUCCUACUCAGUAGUCAGGAAGAAGGAGAACAAAUGGAAAGCCACACAAUUACUGGGCUUGAGAAUUCAAUCCUGGCUGCUCUUUAGGGCACCUAGUUCUUUCAAAGUAGUCAGAUUCAUGGCUUCUGAGAAUAUGAUUAUACCUAUGGACUCCUCUCUUAAAGAAGAUGCACUAACCCACAUACACUCCAAAUAUGGCUUACAAUCUCCAAGGGUCCUUGGAUUCACUGCGGUUUCUGAGUGUCACAUCCAGGGAGUGAGAAGAACAAAGAGGAGGGGAGGACAGAAUGAAGAUAGGAAGCUUAACCAGCCAAAAGGAGGUGUAACGCGCCAAAAGGUGGCAGGAAGACCCCAGUCCUUUGCUGUUUGCUUGGAGAUGGACACAGACCUGACUAACACAUGUAAGGAUACCAGAAGGAGGAAGAAUGGCAUCAGUCUGAGUUGGAGAAUCUCACUCAGGCUGAGGGAGAAAUUAAAGGCAUGAUAUUUUCCUGGGGCAGAAUUACUGAUCUUAUAACCUUCAACAGACCCUACCCUUUGGAAGGCCUCACCUGGGGACGGUGAACAUAUCUCUCAUGGUCAUUCCUUUUCCUGAAGGACAAUGGGCCAAGGUCUCUUCCCACUGAGAUUAGGAGACAAUUUGCAGGAACUGUUGCCGAAAGGAUUUAGGUUGGAUCUUUAGAAAGUCUGGCACGAGAGCUAGAACCAGGAGGUGCAGAAAUAAUGGAACGAGGGUAACUGCAUCCUAGGGAGAAAUUUCCACUCAUCUGGGCAGGCAGGAGGAGGCUAAGAUGCUCUCUGGUCCCAGAGUCCAGGCCUAGAGGAAACUGACCCCACCUUGCAAUUUUCUCUCUUGUCUGGGUGGGACUAAGGCUCCAGGAACAGAUAUCCCACCCCCGAAGUACAUCCUGUUCAAAUCCUCGGUUUCCUUUCAGUUUCGGUCCCUUGGCUGCUUUGACCUUAAGCCAAAAGAUCACACACUGCAGAGAGUGACAGGAGAGGAGGGCAGUGGCCCGCUGGGUGGGCCCCGCCUUCUGACCCACAGCUCUACCCCCUAACUGGACUGGCCAGGCCACGUGCGAGGGCAGGGGCAGGGGCAGGGGAAGGGCUGGGGGACUGGGAGGCUGGCUCCCCCAGAUGAAGAAUCUGGUAUUUCCUGUGGGACCGCUCAUUCCUGACCUCCACAAGAAAACUGUUUCCCAGAGGUUUUUUUGCGCAGCCUCAGCCUGGUGGGGCUGAGCGGAUGGGACUGAGGGGGAUGGGAGAGGUCAGCAGUAGACUCAGCUCCUCCCAGCCCGCGAGUAAAAGCUCUGCAUCUGAAGGUCUCCCAACUCUCCUUCCUGAGUGGGUGGGCAGAGGGAGGAGGGGAUGAGCAGGAAGCAUGGAGCUAUCUGAAAGUCUGGCCGCCCAGCUCGGAGGCUCCUUCAGCCGGCAGGGCCUCCCUGGCCUGGCCCACCUGGCAGGCUCAGACCAACAGGGAGACUCACCUCCAGACAACCAUCUCAGGCACAGUGCCCUCCAGGUCACCUCUAAGCCUCCGGCCCUAGCUGUACCUCUUCAGUGCUCCCAUGGUAUCCCAAGCUCAUUGUUACCAAGGUGUGUCUCUCAAGGUCAUUGCUGAAAUACAUGCCCAUUUCCCACACUAGCUCUGGGGGCAGUGACCACAUCUAUCACGAGUUCUCUUCCUGAGUAUGGAAUGCAAUCACAGUAAAAAUAUUUGUCAUUCUGAGAAUGACAAAGACACAUUUCUGCAGUGGGUGAUCUGGCAAGAUCUAUGCAAGCAAAGAUCAUGAGCACACAGUAUAACCUACUGUUUAAAAAGAUAAGUUUUUAAGAGAAGGAAAAGUCCUAAUUCAGAGGUCUUUAAGUGGAUGAUACAUUCAAGGGAAGAGACUAGCAUAACGCCUUGCACAUAGUAGGUGUUACAGAACUCUACUUCUUGUAGAAUGAACUUAUAUAAGUUUGAAAAGCCUUCCCAAGAUUCC